rnacentral:rRNA from 1 species
AUUGAACGCUGGCGGCAGGCCUAACACAUGCAAGUCGAGCGGAUGAAGGGAGCUUGCUCCUGGAUUCAGCGGCGGACGGGUGAGUAAUGCCUAGGAAUCUGCCUGGUAGUGGGGGAUAACGUCCGGAAACGGGCGCUAAUACCGCAUACGUCCUGAGGGAGAAAGUGGGGGAUCUUCGGACCUCACGCUAUCAGAUGAGCCUGGGUCGGAUUAGCUAGUUGGUGGGGUAAAGGCCUACCAAGGCGACGAUCCGUAACUGGUCUGAGAGGAUGAUCAGUCACACUGGAAUUGAGAACCGGCCCAGAACCCUAGGGGGGGACGCAGGGGGAAAUAUUGGAAAAUGGGCGAAAGCCUGACCCAGCCAGGCCGGGUGGGUGAAGAAGGUCUUCGGAUUGUAAAGCACUUUAAGUGGGGAGGAAGGGCAGUAAGUUAAUACCUUGCUGUUUUGGCGUUACCAACAGAAUAAGCACCGGCUAACUUCGU